CUGUACAAUUUCCACUUUUUAUUUCUUACUCCUGAUAAUAAUGGAAAUCAGACAAAAAAUCUCCGUUCAAGUCCCUUUCUUCGAGCCAUGACCACUUGAACGUGUUCCUCACACUCGUGUCUAUCACGCGUAAGUCUGCUUGUCUGUCUACCUGCUUGAACAU